rnacentral:rRNA from 1 species
GUCCAGACUCCUACGGGAGGCAGCAGUGAGGAAUAUUGGUCAAUGGGCGGGAGCCUGAACCAGCCAAGUCGCGUGAGGGAAGACGGUCCUACGGAUUGUAAACCUCUUUUGCCGGGGAGCAACGGGGUCCUUGCGAGGGCCCGAUGAGAGUACCCGGAGAAAAAGCAUCGGCUAACUCCGUGCCAGCAGCCGCGGUAAUACGGAAGGUCCGGGCGUUAUCCGGAUUUAUUGGGUUUAAAGGGAGCGUAGGCCGGUCUUUAAGCGUGCCGUGAAAUUUUGUGGCUCAACCAUGAGAGUGCGGCGCGAACUGGAGACCUUGAGUGCGCGGAAGGCAGGCGGAAUUCGUGGUGUAGCGGUGAAAUGCAUAGAUAUCACGCAGAACCCCGAUUGCGAAGGCAGCAUACCGGUGCACAACUGACGCUCAGGCACGAAAGCGUGGGUAUCGAACAGGAUUAGAUACCCCGGUA